rnacentral:pre_miRNA from 1 species
UCAUCCGUCCCAAAAUAAGUGUAGCCAUGGUUUUCCACACCCAACUUUGAUCGUUCGUCUUAUUUGAAAUUUUUUUAAAAAAAAUUAAAAAUAUAAGUCACGAGUAAAUUACUAUUCAUGUUUAUCAUCUCAUAACAACAAAAAUACUAAUUAUAUAAAAAAAUAAAUAAGACAAACAAUUAAAGUUGGGCACGGAAACUCAUGGCCGCACUUAUUUUGGGAGGAAGAUA